rnacentral:rRNA from 1 species
AGUGAACGCUGGCGGUAGGCCUAACACAUGCAAGUCGAACGGCAGCACAGUAAGAGCUUGCUCUUACGGGUGGCGAGUGGCGGACGGGUGAGGAAUACAUCGGAAUCUACUUUUUCGUGGGGGAUAACGUAGGGAAACUUACGCUAAUACCGCAUACGACCUACGGGUGAAAGCAGGGGAUCUUCGGACCUUGCGCGAUUGAAUGAGCCGAUGUCGGAUUAGCUAGUUGGCGGGGUAAAGGCCCACCAAGGCGACGAUCCGUAGCUGGUCUGAGAGGAUGAACAGCCACAAUGGAACUGAGACACGGGCCAGACUCCUACGGGAGGCAGCAGUGGGGAAUAUUGGACAAUGGGCGCAAGCCUGAUCCAGCCAUACCGCGUGGGUGAAGAAGGCCUUCGGGUUGUAAAGCCCUUUUGUUGGGAAGGAAAAGCAGCAGGUUAAUACCCCGCUGUUCUGACGGUACCCAAAGAAUAAGCACCGGCUAACUUCGUG